AUAAAUCUUAAAUCAUGAUAGUUAUUUAGUUCAGUUGUAUAUUAUGCUAGAAGUAGGUACACUAUAUAUUGUAGAGUUCUAUUCAUUAAAUAUGUUUUCCAGCAUCCGUGUUAUGGUGUGUUAGAAAAUGAGUAAAAAUACGGUAUUCUAAAUUCUUGUGUACUGUCUACUUCACACUUGUUGUCUACCUCGCAUGGUUCUAUAAUAUGUCUACCGCAUAGGUAAAACAUUCAUAGAUGAAUACAAAUACACCACUUUAGUUCUACCAAACAUGGGAGGAGAAAUGAUAGUGAUAUAACUAUUAUAUGCAUUUUUUAAAUCAAGUAGUUAAAAAGUUAUUACCUAGGCGUUAUUGCAUUGAUUGUAUGUACCACUGGCAGGAUUGACAAAAAAUUGGAAAUGGUUGAUGGUCUUGUGUAUGUACUGAGGUGUAGCAAUUUUCACUGUAUUUUGCAAUGCCUUUGAUACACUUAAACCUACUUUGAUAUUGUUUCAACUCACCAAUUUACACUCGUCAGACAUUUGAGUAUUUGAAAUUUUGACGUGAUUCAACACUGUUGAUACACAUUGAGAAAAAAUGGAAACUUUGCCCCCAGAAAUCAUAACAAAAAUAUUGGAAUACCUACCAUUUGGUGAUCGACGAGUUGUGGCCAUGGUCAAUAAAGCAUUUUAUUAUGCUUCAUACCACCCAGCGUUCUCAAGAAAAGAAUUUCUUACCUAUCAGACAUCGGAGGUCGAUUUGAAGAAGUUUAAUGAUUUCAAAAAAAUGUUGAUGAACUCAAGAAGAAAACUACUUUGUUUGAAAUUUAUUGAUUUUAUUUUUAUAGACGAUUUAACUAUUUUCACAAAUCUAGGGAAUCACAUUAUAUCACUACACUUUAAUAAUUUGAAAUGUUUAAAUGAUUCAUUUCUAGAUGCUAUUUCCCAAUACUGUAGAAAUCUCGAAAAAUUAGAAUUGGUACGGUUGCAAGAUUUGUCCAUAACUGAUAAGAACCGUGCUCCGAUAUACAAAUUGUGCAGUAUUACUUUAGAUGAUGUUCAAAUUUCUGAUAGAGAAUUCAAUCCAAUUUUGAAAUUUGCACCAAAUCUAAGGGAUUUGAGUAUAGUUAAUUGUAACAUAAAUGGAUCGAGUCAAGUCCUAAAAAGAUUUUAUCCACAACGUACAGAUAGUGCCAUAAGUAAUGAAUAUUUAUUUAAUAAGUACAAUUCAAAUUAUAUUUUUUCAGAUAUAAAUAUUAUAUAUCAUUUAAAUAAUUCUGUUCAAUUAAAUAGCCUUAGGUUAAAUCAAUGUUGUCAUGUAUUUUAUCAGAUUCAAUCUAUACAACAAUUUAAAUCAUUGGUGUUGGAUCUUAAAAACACGUAUACAAAUCAAUCAUCUAAGAUUGAAAAUUUUAAAAUAUUAAGUCAAUGUAUAUCUUUAGAACAGUUGGAAAUAGAUCAUUUACCUCUUUGGUUGUUACCAACUGUAUCUAAACUAUGUAAUCUUCGGCAUUUGACAGUAAAAUAUUCUAUUAAAUCAGGAGAUGAUUUGGAAUUGUUAAAAUUAUUUGUGGACUCCUUAAAAGAUAUGAAAUAUAUCAGGAAAUUAUCUUUUAAUAUUGUUGCUGAAGAUUUUGAUAUUGUACAUCCAAUAUUUGGAUUUCCAGAUUGCAUAUUUACAUCUCUUACAUCAUUAGACUGUUCUCUUGAUGCAAAUUUAAGAAGUAUAGUAUUUAGUGAGAAUUUAACAAGCUUACGAAUUAGAAAUGGUCAUAAUCUUAGUGUCAGCUUUUUACAACAAAUUUUAACGAAUAUACCCAAUGUAAAGCAUUUACAUAUCGACAGAUGUUGUAUUAUAGAUGAUUCUAAUUUCGUUGAUUUGCCAAUAUCUAACUUGAAAGAAUUGAUUACUUUAAAGAUUUUGGGCUCAAGAAUUUCACAUCUAUCCUUGCGACACAUUUGGAAUUCAACUUUAAAAGUUAUAACUUUUGACAGUGUGUCAUUAUUACCACUCAGAGUAGAGCCGUUUCAGGAAAAUUUGUUGGCAGUUGGACAAACUAUAUUAUUGCUGGGUAUUCGUGUUCCUUUAUUGACUCAACUUGAAAUUUAUAUAGAUUCUCAUAGCUUCAGUUUUAUUGAAGGUGAAAAUUUAUUAUCUCAUUAUUGGGAAGAGAUUAAUGAAUUAGUAAAACGUUGUUUCAAAGAGAUGAAAAUAUUCAGACUUUGGAAGUAAUUUUGUUAUAAAUUUAAAAAUCCUAUGAAAAGAUACUUUUUGAUGUAAUUAAUUAUGCAAUUGCUUAUUAUUUGAAGUUUUUAAUUAUGGUAUACAAUUUGCUUGUAAAAACUCGAUAAUUUUAAUCGGUUAAGGACAAAAAAAAAUGUCGAGUUACCAAAAAAUUGGACUUUUCGAGAUUCCACUGUAUUUAAGUACCUACUUUCAUAAAUAAAAUAAAUUUAAUUACAAAACGAUAUUGUAAUAGCUAACCUGCUGUAGAGUAUAAGUUUAGUGUCUAGUAUUUAUCACUAUUUUGUGUAGAAUUUAGAUCACUUUUUUUAAAACAUCUAUUGAGGAUGUUUUAAACUUGAAUUAAACGAUUAAACUAUUGUAAAUAAAAAACAGUCUUAUCGAAAGCAGUCUAUUAACCUAUAUAGUACCUAUAUUAUAAUAAUAUUAACUUUAAAUUAUAAUUAUUAAUUUCUUUUAUGUAAUAUUAUUGUUAUUAACUUUUUCCUGUAAUUAGUAAGAAUACGUUAUUCGUCUUCUAUAGUUCUGUAAGACGUUAUCAGUAAUCAGUGUUACCAUGUUUUUAAUAAUAAAAACUAUACAAAAUCAGUAUCACGUUCACAUUUAUAACCUCACUGUUCAACACAUAUGUUUGAUUACUUUUUUUCCACUAGGACGAGGCGCUUAUGAUUUUCUCACUAAUCGUCUCGGUCAAAUAAUUCAAUUUUCUGUGUCUUACAAAUUAUAAUUUGUUGCGGUCUUUUUGUGUUUGAAACGUCACGUUUUGUCAAACUAAAAAAUUAUUCAUCUAGUCGGAAUAAAAUAACUAACGACGAUGUUUCCUUCGGUGUUGCGCACCUGUUCAAAAUUUUCCCGUGGAGUCUUGACCGUCGGGCGACAAUCUACAGUCAAAC